CGGUGGUGCAGCGGGUAGCACUGCGCCUUAAAGCAAUAAGGUCCUGGGUUCAAAUCCCAGCCUGAGGA